GGGGUUAUAGCUCAGCUGGGAGAGCGCCUGCCUUGCACGCAGGAGGUCAGCGGUUCGAUCCCGCUUAACUCCA
rfam:Rheinheimera sp. SA_1 Contig_21, whole genome shotgun sequence.